GAAGCUGAGGCGAGCUUCGGAGUCCCGGGGCCCUUUAUAGCCGGAGAGAACGGCCGCCUGCCUCCCCUCCCUCCCCCCCCCCCCCCCCCGCCCGGCGGGGCGGAGCGGGACCCGUGGUGAUUCCCGGACUCUCGUCCGGAGCCGGGGGCGGGGGGGGCGGCGGCGAGGUGCUGAGGGACCUCCGCCCGCUCCCGCGGCUAGCACCUGAAGGUCGCAGAGACCUGCCCUUUCCUCCCCAGCCUUUUUUCCCCCCCGCGGGACUGAGGCCAUCCUGGCAGGCGGGUCCCGAGCCGAGGUAGCUCUGCCUUGCCCUCCCUAACCUCACCCGUAUUUGGCUCCAGAGUUAGCCCUCAGCUUUUCUUCCUUUAAGCAACUCCCACUGGCGGCAUCCUUUUCAAAUAUGAUGCGUGCUUUUCUUGAAGGCGACCUUCUCAAAGUUCUGAGAAUUUCUUGUUAGGGCGGUAUUGCAGACAGAUUAAAAAAAAAAAAAAAAAUCACAGUAAGGAAAGGGAACAGUCAGUAUGGACAUAGUAAUACCUGGGAGGAUGUUCACACCACUGCCUAACCAGAACGCCUGUAGAUUUUUCCAGUCUCAUGAAUUAACCAAAAAAGUCCCGAUCCUGGAAUCAUCCCACGAAUACUGUGAUGUGCUGGGACUAUUCUCUGGGUUGCCAAUGGCUGAGAAUUGAAACCAUGUCAAGAACUUUGCCCAUUUCCCAUACCUCAAAAACAAACAGAAAAGAAAGGAGAAAGAAAGAAAAAAAAAAAAAAAGACCUUUUUGUCUGUGUUCAUAAUUGCAACAAACAUUUCUCAACGAUUGAACUAUCCUUGAUGAGACAAAUAGUAUUAUAGAGAAAAACGUUAAAUUGGACUUCAGCUGUACCCCUUAUUGGUGAAGUGCUUGUGCAAGAAAUCUCUUUUCCUCUUGGCUUAAGAAUGGGGGACCCUACGUAAACUUCCCCAGUGGGAACUUCUGUUUCUCCAUACCCGUUAACUGGCUUGUCAACAAUUCUGUUUUGAGAACACAAUUUUAUGUACAUCCAGAGAAUUGGACCCACCAACCCAGGAGUUUUCAAACUGCUUUGAACCUAGGAACUGAAGAGACUGGAGGAUCUCUUUCCCAGUUAAGAUUUGGGUGUGGAGAAUCCUAGGGACUAUGGAGAAGGAAGAGUGUGGAUCAUCACUGGCCUUGAAUUUUAAAACAUUCAAAACAUUUUUUGUGCAGGCAUUAAUAACAGACUUGAUGAGAGAUAUCUAGCAACCGAGGACCUCAGAGUGAAAGAGUGAGGAAUCUGACAACCUUCAGAAAGGCGUGUCUUAAUUUUCCAUGAAGAUGGCAACAUGCAAAUAGGCAGUAGCCAACUAAACUGCCCCUCUCCCACCUUGUGAAGCCUUUCAGAGGACCCUGGAGGAACAGAUUGUCAUUUUGUCUUCAGCCUCGUUCACCAUCUAACCUCUCUAUUUAGACUGCCAAAUGAUGUCAAAGACAUCCUGUCAAAAGCCAAGAACUAUGAACACACAUUAAAUCUGAUGAAGUGAGAAGACUCCCAUUUUGAUAAUCCUUUUAUCUUCACUCUCCAACUAAAGUUAAGGAAGAAAGAACUAUUGGCAUUCAAUAAAGAAUGAUGGGAACCCCCGCUUUCACUUGCUCUGACCCCGCAUAGGAAGAGAAGUAAGUCAAAGAAAGUCAUAAUGACACAUAGUUUUCAUUACUAUGUGAUAUUUCAAAGUUAAAGGAGAGAGGUAAUACAGAGGGUAUACUCUCUCUUAGACUCAUAUCUUUUCACAAGGUUCCCAACCAGGAUAUGGUUAUAGAAGGACUAUCCUCUCUUCUAGGGACCACAUUGUAUUCGUAGGAAAAUUCUAGUAGACGUUGACAUUGUGAUUCUGUGUAUUUAAGUGUUGUAGCUUUGUUUUAGGCGUAAGUAAUUGAAUCUGGCUGUAACCCAGCCUGUAUCAGAUUACUUCACUGGAGUUGAGUGGGUUUAGAACUCACCUCUCCUCUCUUUGGGUCCUAUGGUGGGAGCUGCACACUCUUGUUGAGACAAAGAAGAUGACCUAAGAUAUGUUUCUAAGUUGUGAGUUAUUUUUACACAACCUUGUGAUAAGGAGUAUGAUCUUUACAAAGGAGCAAUGGUCUUUAUUAAAUAGGUUGUCUAAGAGUAUUACUGGAGAAGGGUGUCUUUGGUGACUGUAUUGUUGGUUAUAUCUGACUCUAAUUCACGGGAUAUUGCUUUGAGAAAACUAUUGCUAAUAGUCCCUAGACUAUCAGUGACAUUUCCUGUGUUAUUAAUCAUAGAAAAGCUGCCAUAAUUUCAAUGUACACAUCUUCCUUGACUUAUGAUAGGGUUAUGUCCUGAUAAAACCCUGAUAAAUGUUGUAAGUUGAAAAUAUCAUUAGUUGAAAAUGCAUUUAAUAUACCUAACCUACUGAACAGCAUAGCUUAGCCUAGACUUUUGAAUGUGCUCAGAACACUUACAUUAGCCUGCAGUUGGGCAAAAUCAUCUAAUGCAACGCCUAUUUUAUAAUUAAAUGUUGAGUAUUUCAUGUAAUUUAUUGGAUGUUGUGUUGUAAGUGAAAAACAGAAUAGUUGUGUGGGUGCAGCAUGGUUGUAAAUGUAUCAGUUGUUUACCGUCAUGAUCCCAUGGCUGACAGAGCUCCGACUCACUGCCAUUGCCGAGCAUCACUACAAAGGAUUGGACUGCAUGUUACUAGCCUGGGAAAAGAUCAAAAUUCAAAAUUCAAAAUAAAGUUUCUACUAAAUGUUUAUCACUUUCACACUAUCAUAAAGCUGAAAAAUCAUAAGUCAAACCAUUGUAAGUUGGGGACCAUCUGUACAGUAAGUGGCAUAUAACUAACAUUCUUGUUUAUAUGUGAAUUUCACAUGUUUUAUCUUUUGGCUUAUUGGACAUAGGUCAGUGAAAAGUAAGCAUUGUUAGCACUAGGGAGUUUUCCACAUGUUAUGUCUUUAAACUCAAUGAAUCACUGUAACAUCCAAACUGGCAUUGCACUAUUUAUACUGUCUAAUCAGGAAUAUAAUUUCACAACAUUGAAUUUGCAGCACAACCAUAGCAUUGCAAUUUAGCACACAUUUUGUUAAUGUGCUUUGUAUCCCAUUAAAGUCUCAUCUUCACAGCCCAGUGCCAUAUGUUACCGGGUCUAGAGUAAACCUCUUAAGUAAGAGGAAAUAAAUGGGAGUAAAAUUACAAUGUGACAUAUGCUACUGGUUACCUACCAACAACCAGUCCUCUCUUCUUCCCUGAUCAAACCCCAAUUUUGUUCAAGUUUGGGAAAAAUGUGCUCAGGAAAGACGAGUUCACUUCUAGCUCAGGUAUGAAAUAUGAAGGAUAUCGCCAUAGUAUCAUUCCCCUUUCAACCAGAGAUUCAUUUGGAAUUUGUAUGUAACUGAGUUUUGGCCAAGAGGACAUGAAAAAAAGUCUGUUGCAAGGCUUCUGGAAAAAGUAUUUUUCCUGAUAAAAGAAAUAUGCGUUAAGGAGAAAACUCCUCAGUUCCCUUUCCUUUCCAGCCUUUGGAUGUUGUUAUGAGGAUUUAAUGCAUAGAGUUACUGCUGCCUAAGGGGUUGGGGAUGAGGAAGUUUGUGACAGGCAGAGCAAGGCAAGGUUUCUUGCCAGAGGUUAGAACGAGCUUAGGUACU